CAGCAUAUAAAGAUGGCUACUUUUGACAUUGCAAAAAAUUAGAGUAUCGUUCGUGAAUUGAAAACUUUAAAGGUGACUGGUGUUUUCAAAGGGUCCUAUGCCAAAGAUGAGCCCCUCAUUUCUAACAGUCCUCAAAAAUUGAUUAAAUAUAUUGUCACAAGAAUAAAGUGCAUAACUAGUAGAGGGUUGCUUUGCUUAAGACCUUUCUUAUUACAAAAUCAUCUGCCA
rnacentral:lncRNA from 1 species